UACGGAGGGGGCGAGCGUUGUCCGAAGUUACUGGGCGUAAAGCGCGCGUAGGCGGGUUGGUAAGUCCGCUGUGAAAGCCCGGAGCUCAACUCCGGAGGGUCGGUGGAUACUGCCAGUCUUGAAGGUGCUAGGGGGAGACGGAAUUACCGGUGUAGCGGUGAAAUGCGUAGAGAUCGGUAGGAACACCAGUGGCGAAGGCGGUCUCCUGGGGCAUUCUUGACGCUGAUGCGCGAAAGCGUGGGGAGCAAACAGG
rnacentral:rRNA from 1 species